rnacentral:rRNA from 1 species
CCUACGGGAGGCAGCAGUAGGGAAUAUUAGUAAUGGGCGAAAGCCUGAACUAGCAACGCCGCGUGUGCGAAGAAGGCCUUCGGGUUGUAAAGCACUUUUUGAGAGGAUGAGGAAGGACGGUACUCUCAGAAUAAGUCUCGGCUAACUACGUGCCAGCAGCCGCGGUAACACGUAGGAGGCGAACGUUAUCCGGAUUUACUGGGCGUAAAGCGCGUGUAGGUGGUUUGGUAAGUAGGGCGUGAAAGCUCCUGGCUCAACUGGGAGAGGCCGUUCUAAACUGCCGAACUAGAGGAUGGUAGAGGGAGGUGGAAUUCCGGGUGUAGCGGUGGAAUGCGCAGAUAUCCGGAGGAACACCAGUGGCGAAAGCGGCCUCCUGGACCAUUCCUGACACUCAGACGCGAAAGCUAGGGUAGCAAACGGGAUUAGAGACCCCGGUAGUCCUAGCCCUAAACGAUGUAGACUAGGCGUCGGUGGUUUAAACGCCAUCGGUGUCCAAGCUAACGCGAUAAGUUCACCGCCUGGGGACUACGGCCGCAAGGUUAAAACUCAAAGGAAUUGACGG